rnacentral:lncRNA from 1 species
UCACUGUUCUGCGGUCAGGCUUGCAUGCCAUCUUCAAUGAGAAAUCUCUGGAUGUGACCAAAGACCUCUUUCAAGAGAAGUUUAGGAAUCCAAAGAAGCGGCAGAAAAACAUACAAUUAAAAUGUUUGAAGAACUUCAUUUCUUCACUGGCAUCUUCCACAGAUAUUCGGGAUCUCCUGAGCUGUUUGUCUUCAGAUCUCCAGACUUUUGUUAUUAAGGAUCCUGGCUUUUGUUGAAUAUGCUACUUGUUGAUUUUGCGGCUCACAUUUUCCAGUCCUAUAUAGAAGAGGAGAAGGAAGAAGGAAAUGCCUUGGUUGCAAAGCAAAAUGAGGUCCCUGUUCUGUGUGUUUAUGAGCCCAGCCAUCUCUCAGCCUGUUUUGCUGAGGAGGAACCUCAAGCCAGUGCUCCACAGACAGCUCUUGUGAUGCAGAACCAGAAUAACUUUGGAUUAAGCAAUGCUUUCCAGAGUUCUGAGUUGUUUGGUGAACACAGCCACUGUCAGCAAGCACAUCCAGAUAAUUUAGGAAGAGAAAAUUAUUAUAUCAUGUACUAAGUUGGAUCUUCAAGUUGCAAAGGAAACAUUUCUUAUUCAAAAAGAUGAAAUUAUAUUUCUCUGCCUCCAAUGAACAGCAAAUCUUCAGAGAAAAGCAUCCUGGCUGUAGCAUUCUAUAUGAUAUGCCAUUCUUACUUUUUGAUAAAGUUUAAGAAACACUGUUUUCAUUCUCUUAUACUAAAGAGCUUUCUUUUUGUAAUACAAAAUGCAAAACUGGGCUAGCAAUGCAAUUAUUUUAAGUUGUCAUGUGAUUUGAUUUGGAUUAUUUGAAUAAAUCUUCAGAUGAUAAAGGUGAAGUACUCGUG